GUAUUAGGUCCGUAGUGUGUGUUUGGGUUCUGCCAGGUUGACACUAAUUGCUUAUUUUGUGACGUGUUGGUGGCAGAGGCGAGGGCAUCGGGGCUGGUGACACUUGGCUUACAGGAGCGGCACUGCCUCACCUUCCGGCAAUGUCUGGGCCCCAGCGUGGACUACUCAAGAAUGUCCUGCCGCCCGUGGGACCCCCGGGCUUGCCUGGGUCAGCACGGCGUGGAUGGGGUUCUGGGGGGCUGACAGUGGGGGGACGGAGGGACUACACCCCAGUGUCAUGGAGGAAGUACUGGGACUCCUGUCAAGAUGUGACUCUGGAAGGUGGGGACGUGUUCCGAGUGUACCAGCGAGGUUCAGUGGGACCGCUGCUGCUGCUGCUGCAUGGGGGUGGAUAUUCAGCCCUCACUUGGUCACUCUUUGCUGAGAAUGUGACGGAGAUGGUGGAGUGCCAGGUGUUGGCAAUAGACCAGCGGGGCCACGGAGACACCCACACCACGGAUGACGGUGAUCUUUCUGCCUCUACACUUGCCAGUGAUGUCGGCCGAGUGGUGGAGACCAUGUAUGGGGCUCAGCAGCCGCCUUGUGUGCUCAUCGGCCACAGCAUGGGCGGAGCUGUGGCUGUGCAUGCAGCUUACCAUCAGCAUGUAGCCGGUCUAGCAGGACUGAUUGUGAUAGACGUGGUGGAAGGAACAGCAAUGGACGCCCUCAGCUCCAUGCAAAGUUUUCUACGAGGACGUCCAAACAACUUUAACUCUCUUCAAAAUGCUGUUGAAUGGAGUGUACGUUCUGGACAGACAAGGAAUGUUGAGGCAGCCAGAGUGUCCAUGCCUGGCCAAGUUAAAAACGUGGAGACAGGCAAGUGUGGCACGGUUGACUUGGAAAACAUGGAUGAGGCCCCCAAAGAGCCUCCCACUGAGGGGCGGCGAGGCUCCACGGUGAGGGCUGACGUCAUCAUGGAGGAAGGUUCAGAGGCAGACCCUUCCAGUGAGGCCUCCUCUGCUUCUGAUAGCAAGUUACCAGUCACAAAGUACACCUGGCGAAUAAAUUUGGGAGAGACUGAGAAGUUUUGGGCUGAGUGGUUCCAAGGCUUGUCUUCCAAGUUUCUGUCAAGUAAUCCAGCUAAGAUGUUGUUGCUGGCAGGCAUUGAUAGACUGGAUACAGACCUUACUGUGGGGCAAAUGCAAGGCAAGUUCCAGAUGCAAGUGUUGCCUCAGUGUGGACAUGCAGUGCAGGAGGACACCCCUGACCGUGUGGCGGAGGUGCUCGCCACCUUUCUGCUGCGCCACAGACUUGCCACGGCCAAGUCUGAGUUCCACAGGCUUCCAGAUUGUUUAUCUCAGCAACUCUUCCGUUAAGAAAUGCCACACCCUCCUGAUCUCAUCUAUAUCCUCCAGCCAACAUGCAUUGAUACUUUCCUGCUGCUUUGUAUGGUCAUGUGUUAACUGUUGUGUUUUUCCCUUGAUCUGUGUCACAUUUACUUUAACCUUCUAGCUAUUGCAAAAUACAACAGCCAUAUCUUUAACUGAUAGGACUCUGUAUUUCCAGAGAAGAAACUUGUACACUUGCUCAUCCGUGCAACUUUAACCAUGCAGCAUUAACACAGUAGUCUAGCUAGCACUGGCAUGUUAUUUGGCAGUGUAACACCAAUACAUCAAAGACUAAAAUGUGACUAUGAAAAAUUUGCAUUCUUUACAUAUAGACUAGAGGAGUUAUGACACAAGGAGCAAUAAUUUGCAUUAAUGAUCUCUAUCAUGUACAGAGGCAUACAUUGUAUCAAACAGUUUGCCCAGUAAAGACGUCACUUUUGUGAAUCUUAUGUCAAUAAAUUAAGUGAAAAUUAGUAUAAAGACUAAUUAGAUAUUUAAUGUUUCAUAUAAAGAGUUUUAUGGAUACCAGAACCCAGUAGAUGAUAGCAAAGAGUGAUUUUUAAUAUCUGAAACAGAAGUAGAAUGUGAUAUCAUUACUUUGUAUAGCAGUACAAAUAACAAGCAUUGAUAUGAUUUACAGGGAAAACAUGUAUACAUACUUACCUCUUGCUGUCACUCAUCACACAACUACCAAUCAAAAAAUUAUUCGUGCAAAUGUCAGGUCACACUCAUUCCUUUUGCAAACAGUUAUAGAAUGGAAGUCUUUAUCCUCAACUUGUAACAUAUUUCUAUAGUAGAAAUCACAACGUUUGAUAGUACUUUAUCACCAAAUAGCACAAAAAUUCUUUGUUUCUUUAGCUUUCUUCUCACCUCUACAUCCAUCCUUAGCAACCCUAUCCACCAGUAACCAGCAAAAUGAGUUUCCCUGCGUGCUGAUAGUGAUAGUGUUGACAGUGGCCAGUGAGGGGACAGGACAGAGCAUCUACACACACCACAAGGGUCAGAAAGCAGGUAUAAAAACAUACUGCAUAUUAUCUUCUUUUGUCCGAGUAACUUUGUGCGUAGCUUAGUACAGGUAUUUUGUCUGUGGUCAAAAAUAAUGUUUUAUGCCAUCAGGUCCCUUUGGGUUAUAUAAUAUAUAUAUAAUUGUACUCAAGAAUUAUGUCUUCAUGUCUGGCACUUAUAUAUUACACAAGUAGGUCUUAUUUGUGCAAUUGACACUUGUAGGAUUCAGCUGUGCAUCUGUUAUGUAUAUGAAACAAUUUCCUUGGUGAUGUUUCUGCUGCUUGUCAGUAGUCUCAAGGAAGGUGGAAAUGCUGUACGAACCAGUCGGAGCAAAGUAUUAAGUAGAGCAGAUACAAACAUGGUCACUCUAUUCUUGUACUUUCAACAAGCUUUCAACAUUAUUUAUAAGUAUAUAUUCUACACAACGAGAUGAGGCAUCUAGUUCUUUUGUGGGAAAGGACUUUAAUGAGUAAGAUGACAGUACCUUUUGUUUACCUUUAUCAUUGACAUAUCUACAUGUUCGGAAAUAAUUAUAAUAAAAUGUAAGAACGCCAACUGAUGUGCUGUUAAUGCCUCAUGUAUAUUGUGCUCUUUUACUAUGUUAACAUGACACAAAAAUAUGAAAAUAUAACUGUACUGUCUGUGUUUGAGCUGUUUUAAAGUGUGGACAUCUGCAUGUAUACUACACAUUAAAUGACUAAUGUAUAAA